GACGAACGCUGGCGGCGUGCUUAACACAUGCAAGUCGAACGGAAAGGCCCUGCUUUUGUGGGGUGCUCGAGUGGCGAACGGGUGAGUAACACGUGAGUAACCUGCCCUUGACUUUGGGAUAACUUCAGGAAACUGGGGCUAAUACCGGAUAGGAGCUCCUGCUGCAUGGUGGGGGUUGGAAAGUUUCGGCGGUUGGGGAUGGACUCGCGGCUUAUCAGCUUGUUGGUGGGGUAGUGGCUUACCAAGGCUUUGACGGGUAGCCGGCCUGAGAGGGUGACCGGGGACAUGGGGACUGAGAUACGGAGCAGACUGGAACGGGAGGCAGCAGGGGGGAGUAUGGCACAACGGGCGGGAGCGUGAUGAGGAAACGCCGGGGGCGGGAAGACGGCCUGCGGGUAGUGAAAAGCUUUAGCCUGAGACGAAGCGGGAGUGACGGUAAUGGAUGAAGAAGCACCGGCUAACUACGUG
rnacentral:rRNA from 1 species